ACUAAAAAAAUAAUAAUAUUACACUAGACGUAAUUGCAAAUCUAACGUAAAAUACAAGCAUGUAAAUUCAAAACAUGCGUAACAUUAUGUGUUCUUGAACGCAAAUGGAUUAGUUUUCUUGUGCAUUCACGGACACAUAAUUUUACAUCUAAGGAAUCGUAAUAUUCGCGCACUCUUGAUGCACAUACCUAGAGCGUGUUAUUUGAUGUAAUUUUCAAGCAAAUCAGACCCAAUUUUAUUUGUUCUCAGAUAUUUCACUUGACCGUGCAGCGAAACGUCAGCCAUGUUGAAUUUAGCUGACGGAUGGUGCGCUUGAGAACAAAUUUCAUUUUCGCGAAACCUUUGAAAAAGCAGUAACUAUCUUUCACUGAGUAUCAGGGGAACGUUAAAAACAUUGUAAAAGGUGCGCGUGUUUUGUUUCGCCAGCUUUUCCAUCAUUUGGUACAGCUCCGGAUCUCAACCUGCGCGAAGGUUGGCGGAAGAAAAAGCUCAGUUCUUGGCUUAAACGGUCAGUGUCCAUUGCGGAUCCGACGGAAUUUGACCAGCAAAGGCGAUCUGAUGAAGUUUCCCGGCCAACAUCAAAACACAACAAGGCACAGCGUGUCGUCGAAUCGAUUGAGGUGACCACUAGUAGCUGGAACCGGUGUCUGAAAACAAUGGGGGAUGUGACUG